GGGGUUGUAGUUCAGUGACAGAGCACUUGCCUUGCAUGCAUGAGGUUCUGGGUUUGAUCCUCAGCACCA
rnacentral:tRNA from 1 species